rnacentral:tRNA from 1 species
GGGUGUAUAGCUCAGUUGGUAGAGCAUUGGACUUUUAAUCCAGUGGCCUUGGGUUCAAGUCCCAAUGCACCCA